AUGCGGCGGGAAGAAGUGGCAUUUAGAAGUGUUGCUGACUUUACAUUUAGGUUUCGGCAUAACAAAGCUUGCACUGUCUUUUCGCACUUAGGCGCACAGCGUGCCGUUGGUAAUGAUUCUACUACGGUGCUGCAAAUUCGCAAGCUGAUCCUAAGUAAUCGUUGUUGUUCAGUGGAUUCCUCCGGAAUUACUUCGUUAGGAUUGAAGAAUUGCAACAAUUCUUCCUGA
rnacentral:rRNA from 1 species